AUAAGAAAACGGCGUUAAAGCAACAGCGCUAUCAUGAGGAUUGAGUUUUUCAUUAUUUUUUGGCGCUUAAACACCAAAGUGUAUGUGCCUAUGUGUCAUCGCAGAUAUAUUCGGAUUUCUAUCAGAACUGUAGACUUUGUAAACUUGUAAUAAAAUUAUAUAUAGAAAAUUAUAUGUAUGGAAAAGAUCGCGUAUAAAUACAAGCAUUUAGACAGUGUUGUUAGAGGAUUCAUUACGGGCCAUUAAUUUAAAGAAGAAAAAGAAGACAGUUAUGGAUCCAAAGAUUCUUUAUCAAUAUCAAGUACAAUUAGCAGUACUCAAAUAUAAACG